GCAUCGGUAGUGUAAUAGAUCAGCACGGCAGAACGGAAAUCUGGGAGCGCGGGUUCGAGUCCCGCCUGAGGUG
rnacentral:tRNA from 1 species